GGGCGCGUGGCGGAACUGGUAUACGCGUACGCCUCAGAAGCGUAUCCCGAAAGGGUUGGGAGUUCGACUCUCCCCGCGCCCA
rnacentral:tRNA from 1 species